rnacentral:rRNA from 1 species
AUUAGAUUUGGCGGCAAAAUAACUUUUUAGAGGAACCUGCCCUGUAAACGAUGGUCCACGAUAAACCUUACUUUUUCUAGUAAUCAAUUUACAUACCGCUGUUGUCAGUUAGUUUUCAUAAAAAAUUAUCUAUAUUAAAAUAGUUAUAUACUUCAAGUAAAGGUGUAGUUUAUGGAAAAGAUAGAGGUGGGUUACAUUUAGAUUACUAAGAUGGAUAUACUUAUUAAUUUGUGUAUUGAAGGAGGAUUUAAAAGUAAGAUUAUAAAAAGUUUGGCAUUAGGAAUAUUUU